AGUGAACGCUGGCGGUAGGCCUAACACAUGCAAGUCGAACGGCAGCACAGUAAGAGCUUGCUCUUACGGGUGGCGAGUGGCGGACGGGUGAGGAAUACAUCGGAAUCUACUUUUUCGUGGGGGAUAACGUAGGGAAACUUACGCUAAUACCGCAUACGACCUACGGGUGAAAGCAGGGGAUCUUCGGACCUUGCGCGAUUGAAUGAGCCGAUGUCGGAUUAGCUAGUUGGCGGGGUAAAGGCCCACCAAGGCGACGAUCCGUAGCUGGUCUGAGAGGAUGAUCAGCCACACUGGAACUGGAACACGGUCCAGAAGACUACGGGAGGCAGCAGUGGGGAAUAUUGGACAAUGGGCGCAAGCCUGAUCCAGCCAUACCGCGUGGGUGAAGAAGGCCUUCGGGUUGUAAAGCCCUUUUGUUGGGAAAGAAAAGCAGCAGGUUAAUACCCCGCUGUUCUGACGGUACCCAAAGAAUAAGCACCGGCUAACUUCGUG
rnacentral:rRNA from 1 species